UGACACGUCAGUUGCUUCGGGAUAAGAUUGAUCUUCAUUGACUUUCCAAAUCUUCACUUGAUCUUCUCCGAUUCCUCUUUGAUCCCAAGCUGGUCCUUGUCAUAUCUUCAUAAACUUAGCCCCUAAGCAAUGUUGGAGGGUUGCUUGCCAAAGAUGGGCACCAGGGGGUGCUAGAAGAUGCUAGUCCAAUUGGCCUGGGCUCCUCGAGGCUGAUCGGCCUAGACCCUUCCUGAGCCCG
rnacentral:lncRNA from 1 species